rnacentral:lncRNA from 1 species
ACUUCUUUACCAUGAAAUCUCUACAUUUGGAAGUCUAUAAUCACUAAAUAUAAACAUCAACUCUCACUUUGUGUCUAUAUGUGGGCCUAAAAAUGCGGUUCUGUUUCCAGCUGAGACAGAUGAAUGUCAUAAAUACUCUGUGUAGGAUGCAGGGCAAAAAUAUUACAACAAAACCUAAACAAACCUAAAGCAUGAAACCAAACAUUUUGUACACUUACAUUAAAAUUAUAUUGAAAAUUGGGAGCAUGAACUACAAAACUAGGCUUCUUUCUGUUUUACAAACUGCAACGUCUGUUAAGAAAAACUAAAGCAUAAUUGCAAAUUGGAAUUUCCUGCCUAUUCUUAAAUCGACAUUUGUGUUUUUCUCUUAUCUUCUCCCACAUGUAAAUGCAGCAGCUUCCUAACCCUCUUGUUAUAUAUCACAUUCAAUGUAACAGUUUAGCAAAUUCUCCAAUUGUGUUGGUGUUUGCUUUCACAGACAUGGAAAGCAAUUUGAUGUGUCCUUUUAAUGAGUCAUUUUCAAGCAAGGAGAAAAACAGUGGUUGGGUAAAUUCUGUGAAGAAAUUUAUAAAGAUUCCCCUAAUUUCAUCUAUGUGCAACAAAUACCAGAAAAAAAUAGAAAAGCAUUCAAGGAUACUAGAUUAAUUACAAGGAACACUGUGAUUGUUCAUGAUUUUCAUGGCUAUUUAUAGACACCAAAAUAAGUAAGGAGGAUCUUUGCAUUUUAUUUAUCUAAAGCCUCAUGAUAAUAAGUUUGUGCUUCCUUUGAGCAGUCAGAAGUGAUUGAUAUCCUGUACUGAAAAGAAUCUUAUUCAAGAUAAGUAAUUCUUAACCUCCAUUUCUACUUCUUCCAUUUCUCUGUAAACUCCCAAAGAUAGUUUAUGUAUUAAGUUCUGAUCCUCAGAGUGAAAACAGGUAUUUCCCAAAGACAUGGUAGUACAUGGAGAAUCUUUAGGAACUGAGAGACCCUUCCACUCCAUGCCUUUUUUUUUUCUGUUGGCCUGGCUUGGAAAUAAAAGCUAAAAAGUUAUCUUAUGAAAAUCA